rnacentral:ribozyme from 1 species
UGUGGUGAAGGAUACUGCUGCAGGGCCCGAACUUGUUCCCGUUGAUUGACGAGGUAACCACAAGCUCGUAAUUCAUGAGGGAACAGGUUCGCCUGUCACAAACGAAAGCGCGUCACCUCGAUCAAC